UUGUCUGGUUUACCACCAGGAGUCACUGUGUUGUUCUUUGCUUUGUACACAGAAGCACAGCUCUUGCCUAGAUGGAAUUCAGUUUUAUCUCGAGCAUAAACACCUUCAAUUUUAAGAAGGGCUGUGUGCUCCCUCUGGUUGGAGAUCUGAAGAG